AUCCUGGCUCAGAUUGAACGCUGGCGGCAGGCCUAACACAUGCAAGUCGAGCGGUAGCACAGAGAGCUUGCUCUCGGGUGACGAGCGGCGGACGGGUGAGUAAUGUCUGGGAAACUGCCUGAUGGAGGGGGAUAACUACUGGAAACGGUAGCUAAUACCGCAUAACGUCGCAAGACCAAAGUGGGGGACCUUCGGGCCUCAUGCCAUCAGAUGUGCCCAGAUGGGAUUAGCUAGUAGGUGGGGUAACGGCUCACCUAGGCGACGAUCCCUAGCUGGUCUGAGAGGAUGACCAGCCACACUGGAACUGAGACACGGUCCAGACUCCUACGGGAGGCAGCAGUGGGGAAUAUUGCACAAUGGGCGCAAGCCUGAUGCAGCCAUGCCGCGUGUGUGAAGAAGGCCUUCGGGUUGUAAAGCACUUUCAGCGGGGAGGAAGGCGAUGAGGUUAAUAACCUCGUCGAUUGACGUUACCCGCAGAAGAAGCACCGGCUAACUCCGUGCCAGCAGCCGCGGUAAUACGGAGGGUGCAAGCGUUAAUCGGAAUUACUGGGCGUAAAGCGCACGCAGGCGGUCUGUCAAGUCGGAUGUGAAAUCCCCGGGCUCAACCUGGGAACUGCAUUCGAAACUGGCAGGCUAGAGUCUUGUAGAGGGGGGUAGAAUUCCAGGUGUAGCGGUGAAAUGCGUAGAGAUCUGGAGGAAUACCGGUGGCGAAGGCGGCCCCCUGGACAAAGACUGACGCUCAGGUGCGAAAGCGUGGGGAGCAAACAGGAUUAGAUACCCUGGUAGUCCACGCCGUAAACGAUGUCGAUUUGGAGGUUGUGCCCUUGAGGCGUGGCUUCCGGAGCUAACGCGUUAAAUCGACCGCCUGGGGAGUACGGCCGC
rnacentral:rRNA from 1 species